rnacentral:rRNA from 1 species
AAUCAACGCUGGCGGCGUGCCUCAGACAUGCAAGUCGAACGAGAAGGCUCCUUCGGGAGCCGGAAAGUGGCGCACGGGUGAGUAACACGUGGGUAAUUUACCUUCGGGUGGGGAACAACAGCCGGAAACGGCUGCUAAUACCGCAUAACGUAGCGGCACCUAAUGGUGACAGUUGUUAAAGCGGGGGAUCGCAAGACCUCGCGCCUAAAGAGAAGCCUGCGGCAGAUUAGGUAGUUGGUGAGGUAAUGGCUCACCAAGCCCGCGAUCUGUAGCCGGCCUGAGAGGGCGGUCGGCCACACUGACACUGAACAACGGGUCAGACUCCUACGGGAGGCAGCAGUCGGGAAUUUUGGGCAAUGGGCGCAAGCCUGACCCAGCAACGCCGCGUGAAGGAUGAAGUUUUUCGGAAUGUAAACUUCACAAGAAUGGGAAGAAUAAGUUUCAGCUAACACCUGAAGCGAUGACGGUACCAUUUGUAAGCUCCGGCUAACUCCGU